rnacentral:rRNA from 1 species
ACGUAGGGGGCAAGCGUUAUCCGGAAUUAUUGGGCGUAAAGAGUGCGUAGGUGGUUUUUUAAGCGUGAGGUGAAAGGCAAUAGCUUAACUAUUGUAAGCCUUGCGAACUGGAAGACUUGAGUGCAGGAGAGGAAAGUGGAAUUCCUAGUGUACCGGUUAAAUGUGUAUAUAUGAGGAGGAGCAACAGCGGCGAGGGCAACAUUCUGGACUGGAAAUGACAUUGAGGCACGAAACUGUGGAAAACAAGCAG